UCCUAUGGAUGAGCAAAGACAGUGGUUUCUUGAGAUAGAACCUCCUCCUGACGAAGAUGCUGUGAA
rnacentral:pre_miRNA from 1 species